rnacentral:rRNA from 1 species
GAUGAACGCUAGCGGGAGGCCUAACACAUGCCAGCCGAGCGGUAUUGUUUCUUCGGAAAUGAGAGAGCGGCGUACGGGUGCGUAACACGUGUGCAACCUGCCUUUAUCUGGGGGAUAGCCUUUCGAAAGGAAGAUUAAUACUCCAUAAUAUAUUGAACGGCAUCGUUUAAUAUUGAAAGCUCCGGCGGAUAGAGAUGGGCACGCGCAAGAUUAGCUAGUUGGUGAGGUAACGGCUCACCAAGGCGAUGAUCUUUAGGGGGCCUGAGAGGGUGAUCCCCCACACUGGUACUGGGACACGGACCAGACUCCUACGGGAGGCAGCAGUGAGGAAUAUUGGUCAAUGGGUGCAAGCCUGAACCAGCCAUCCCGCGUGAAGGACGACUGCCCUAUGGGUUGUAAACUUCUUUUGUAUAGGGAUAAACCUACCCUCGAGAGGGUAGCUGAAGGUACUAUACGAAUAAGCACCGGCUAACUCCGUG